GGGGUAAACCUGCGAAACUCGAAUGAACGAACGGAGAGAUUCAUCGUCAUUCCUCGGCGUACGGACGCCCGCUUCGAUGUCGUCGGCCUCGGUCGGCAGGCACGACGGGCGGCCGUCACGUCCGGGGACGGCGUGCACUUCUCUCUUAGUAAAUACAUCGCGACCCGUUCGAUGUCGAUCUAAGCGCCGUAAGUGUGCCCCGUUUCACCUUCACGGGUGUGAUGGGACCUAUGCGGUUGCCGACCGGCCGUCUGACGGUAGUUUUGACGAAUCGCGCACGCGUUUAACGCGUCAGUCUCGACGCAAGUCAACGUCGUAUCCAAUGUCUUCGCCUAAGUGCGGACGUAGGUGCGGCGCGUCUGUUGUCGCUGCCGAUGUUUUCUGACUGUGCGCGUCUCUGUCUGCGAUGAUUCAGUUUCGGGCACUCGCAGGACCCGUCUUGAAACACGGACCAAGGAGUCUAGCAUGUAUGCGAGUCAUUGAGAUAAUAAAACUGAAAGGCGUAACGAAAGUGAAGGCGCGUGCUUGUCGCGUGCUCAGGGAGGAUGGAGCGUCGAUCUCGGUCGAUCUCUCGCACUCCCGAGGCGUCUCGUUUCCAAUCUGUGAAUGUAGGCGCGCUC
rnacentral:rRNA from 1 species